ACUACGGGAGGCAGCAGUGAGGAAUAUUGGUCAAUGGCCGCAGGGCUGAACCAGCCAAGUCGCGUGAGGGAUGACGGUCCUAUGGAUUGUAAACCUCUUUUGUCAGGGAGCAAAGGGCGCCACGUGUGGCGUUUUGCGAGUACCUGAAGAAAAAGCAUCGGCUAACUCCGUGCCAGCAGCCGCGGUAAUACGGAGGAUGCGAGCGUUAUCCGGAUUUAUUGGGUUUAAAGGGUGCGCAGGCGGAAUGGCAAGUCAGCGGUAAAAUUUCGGGGCUCAACCCCGUCGUGCCGUUGAAACUGGCGUGCUUGAGUGAGCGAGAAGUCUGCGGAAUGCGUGGUGUAGCGGUGAUAUGCAUAGAUAUCACGCAGAACUCCGAUUGCGAAGGCAGCAUACCGGCGCUCAACUGACGCUCAUGCACGAAAGCGUGGGUAUCGAACAGGAUUAGAUACCCCGGUAGUC
rnacentral:rRNA from 1 species